UUUUCUCGAGGGGGAACCUGCGGAAGGAUCAUUACAGUAUUCUUUUGCCAGCGCUUAACUGCGCGGCGAAAAACCUUACACACAGUGUCUUUUUGAUACAGAACUCUUGCUUUGGUUUGGCCUAGAGAUAGGUUGGGCCAGAGGUUUAACAAAACACAAUUUAAUUAUUUUUACAGUUAGUCAAAUUUUGAAUUAAUCUUCAAAACUUUCAACAACGGAUCUCUUGGUUCUCGCAUCGAUGAAGAACGCAGCGAAAUGCGAUAAGUAAUAUGAAUUGCAGAUUUUCGUGAAUCAUCGAAUCUUUGAACGCACAUUGCGCCCUCUGGUAUUCCAGAGGGCAUGCCUGUUUGAGCGUCAUUUCUCUCUCAAACCCCCGGGUUUGGUAUUGAGUGAUACUCUUAGUCGGACUAGGCGUUUGCUUGAAAAGUAUUGGCAUGGGUAGUACUAGAUAGUGCUGUCGACCUCUCAAUGUAUUAGGUUUAUCCAACUCGUUGAAUGGUGUGGCGGGAUAUUUCUGGUAUUGUUGGCCCGGCCUUACAACAACCAAACAAGUUUGACCUCAAAUCAGGUAGGAAUACCCGCUGAACUUAAGCAUAUCAAUAGCGGAGGAA
rnacentral:rRNA from 1 species